GAUGAACGCUGGCGGCGUGCCUAACACAUGCAGGUCGAACGGAGUCCAGCCUUAGAGACCUUCGGGUCAAAGAGGGGAAGACUGAGUGGCGGACGGGUGAGUAACACGUGGGCAACCUGGCUCAUAGAGGGGGAUAACAGAGAGAAAUUUCUGCUAAUACCGCAUAAGCACACACUGCCGCAUGGCAGAGUAUGAAAAGAGAAUCGCUAUGAGAUGGACCCGCGUCUGAUUAGCCAGUUGGCAGGGUAAGAGCCUACCAAAGCGACGAUCAGUAGCCGAUUUGAGAGGAUGAACGGCCACAUUGGGACUGAGACACGGCCCAAACUCCUACGGGAGGCAGCAGUGGGGGAUAUUGCACAAUGGGGGGAACCCUGAUGCAGCGACGCCGCGUGAGUGAAGAAGUAUUUCGGUAUGUAAAGCUCUAUCAGCAGGGAAGAUAAUGACAGUACCUGAAUAAGAAGCCCCGGCUAACUACGUG
rnacentral:rRNA from 1 species